rnacentral:lncRNA from 10 species
AAGUCUACAGUUCCUCAAUUGGUAAAACAGAGUUCUCAUAUGACCCAGCAAUUCCACCCCUAGGUAUAUACCUAAAAGAAAUUAAAGCAUACGUUCACAAAAAGGCAUGAACGCUCAUGGUAGCAUUAUUCACAAAAGGCAAAGGAUGGAGGCACCACAGAUAGUCAUCUCGUGGACGGUUAAAUAAAAUUUGGUAUAUACAUAUAAUAGAAUAUUAUUUGGCCAUAAAAAAGGAACAAUGUACUGAUUCAAGCUACAGUAUGGAUGAACCUUGAAAAUGUUAUGCUAACUAAAAGAAACCAGAAACAAAGACCAGACAUUAAUAUAAUUCCAUUUAUAGGUAAUAGUUUGCCAUCAUUGGUUUCUUAGUAUACUUUGAGAAAAUAGUAUAGUCCUGACAUUGAAAUAAUGAUAAACAUCAAAAAACCUAAAUUUAAUUCUUACAAGUCAAUAGAAAAAUUUUUAAAAUUACUAAUUAGCCACUAAUUACUUACUGGCUAAUAAGUAGUUUUUCAUUUCGAAAGGCACUUUUUUUUGAAGGACCUCUAUGUGCUAUAUAAACCUCUGUGGAAAGU